rnacentral:rRNA from 1 species
AUGGCUCACCUCGCGACUACCGUCGAGCCGCUGACCUUCCGGGUCACCUCCGAAGCCGGUUCUCACAUGGGCCAAACCAUCAAAAACGGCCGAGUCGCCGCUCACGAGCCGCCGCCACGCCUUGAGCCGGCCCUGUCCGCCGGCCUUCGCUGGAGCCACACCCGAGUCCCCCGCCGCUGGACUCCGACUUUGUCACAACCCGCCGACCGCCGGCGUCGCCUCUGCGUACGGCCUUGUAUACUCGACGUCCGCGCGCUGUUGCCGGGUCACCGCGCGCCCGCGUGCUGCCUCAACCUGCGGCUGUCUCCCCUGCCGCUUGAGCCGCCAUCCAUACGGCGUCGCCUCGGGCCGGUCCUGUUGCCUCGCCGUACAACCUCUCCCCCGCAGCACCGAGCUGCCUCCGUCUCGCUUCACCUCUGCCGUGAGCUGCGGCCGCGGCGUGUAACUACGAGGGAGCGAAGCCCGCGAUCGGUGCGGCGGACUGGCUGCACUGCGCUUGUGCUGGGCACCGAGUGGUGGCUCGUGCUUUGGAGGCGUCAGAAAGAAACCACCCACUGA